rnacentral:rRNA from 1 species
CCUACGGGAGGCAGCAGUGAGGAAUAUUGGUCAAUGGUCGGGAGACUGAACCAGCCAAGCCGCGUGAGGGAUGAAGGUACAGAGUAUCGUAAACCUCUUUUGUCAGGGAACAAAGGCGGGGACGUGUCCCCGGAUGAGUGUACCUGAAGAAAAAGCAUCGGCUAACUCCGUGCCAGCAGCCGCGGUAAUACGGAGGAUGCGAGCGUUAUCCGGAUUUAUUGGGUUUAAAGGGUGCGCAGGCGGUCUGUUAAGUCAGCGGUAAAAGCCCGGGGCUAAACCCGGGCCCGCCGUUGAAACUGGUAGUCUCGAGUUGGAGAGAAGUAUGCGGAAUGCGCGGUGUAGCGGUGAAAUGCAUAGAUAUCGCGCAGAACUCCGAUUGCGAAGGCAGCAUGCCGGCUCCACACUGACGCUGAGGCACGAAAGCGUGGGUAUCGAACAGGAUUAGAUACCCUAGUAGUC